CAGAAAUAUAUGGUGAAUAUUUGCUCUUCAAAGAUUAGUCAUAGUUAGAGGUUGCCUAGAUCAGAAGUCAGCGCAGCUCUUGUCGUCAGAAAAACACAUACACACGCAUAAUUGUUGCAUACAAAACCAAAGCAUUUCAGGCAGGUAAAAGGUAAGCCUUUUAGGUCUAGGCUUUCCAAAAAGAAAUGCGGCCAUCUUCCUAGGGAACCCAUCAAGGUAUUUAGCAAUUUAUACUGUUGGGAAAGUCUUUCUUUAAAAUAAACAGAAUGUCUAUGCUUCAAGUGUAUUUCCUCAUGUUCUAGUCUUAGCAGAGUUCAAGUACAGUUGGUUGCCACCCUCUGAAUAAUACUUCUUCAAAUAUUGGAGGAUUUACAGCAGCUUCCUCUCACUCUUCUCUUCUCCAGGACAAAUCAUCUCAGUGCCUUUAACCUCUGCAGAGCAUGCUGGAAUGCUCUGAUUCUAUUAAAGUGCUUGGCACCCCACGGACCUUAAUAAAAUACUCUGGAUAUACUGGCUAACGGGUUGACUUUUGCCAUAGAUCUUAUUUCCCAAACUUCUAAACAUGCCUGUAGCUUUCCUGUCCAAGUUCAAAUAUAGUAUAACACAUCACAAGUGCUGAGAAGCAGGAAGUCCAUCGCUGAAUCUGGCACUACAGUCCUGAGUGGAAAAUACCAUUUGUUUCCUUGACAAUCUCUCCUUGGUAACUGGACAAAGUGGGGAGCCAAGGGUUAAUGAUACGGUGGAAGAGCCUUGACACCCUACCAGUUCUCAGAGGACAGGGAAGGGUGGCAGUGACUGGAAACUGCUUAAAUUCCUAGCGCUGUUCAACAGGAAGUUGGAGAAAAGGUCUAAAGGUCUAAUGGCCUCAUAAUUAAGGGCUUCUUCUACUCCACAAGUUUAUAAUCAGGAGUUGUCCUGCAGGAAGAAAAGCAAAGGACACAACAAAUGAGAAAGUCACUUUUGCGUUGAGAAUUGGCUAGCCUAGAGGAUGGAAGGCAGAAGACCUUUCCAACACGUUAAGAGCCAAAAGACUACCUUUUAGUGUUUGUUUUGAUUAUAUUUGCCUGUAACCCAGCAACUGGGCCCAGAUGCCAGGAGCCCAAAGAGAACACUGCUGAUGACUGGUGUAUGGAAAGAAAAAGAAUUCCUUUUGUUUUCUUACUUUUAUGGUUCUUCUCAAGAUAUACAGAAAAAGGAGAAUACAAAGCAGGUCCUUCUUGAUCAUCUUUGUAACCAGAUCUUACAGGAAACAGCAGAAGGAGCUCUGGCUGGUGGUCAGGCAUCACUCCCACCUUGGCCUGGUGUUUUCAGGAUAGGCCAGUUGGAUGUGGUGGAAAUUGCAUGAAGAGGAAUUGAGUAGGUCUGGAUCGUCAAUAACUUGGUAUGUAAUCCUGGGCGAAUCCCUUUUCCUUGAGAUCACUCUCUCAUCUGGAAUACAUCAGUGGUUUUCAAAUUGUGCUCCAGCAGAACACGGCUGAUCCAGAAGCUAGACCAAGGAACACUGGUGGUCUCUAUACAAUUCACAGAAAACUGAAGUGGAAUAAAAUGUCCCCCCUUUGCUGUCGCUUAGUUAUUUCUAUUUAUUAUAACAUUUCCUGCACUGAAUAGAUUUUUCUGAGCAUACACAACUGUUUCUUCAAUUUGAGAUACCAAUAAACAGC
rnacentral:lncRNA from 1 species